rnacentral:lncRNA from 1 species
CACCCACCUAAAGUGUUUUGCUUUUUUUCCCUCUAAAGUAUUUUUCUUGUAUUUACAGAGUUGGGCAACCAUCCCAACAUUCAAUUUUAGGGAAAUUUUCAUCACCCUCAAAAGAAACCCUAUUCCCAGUCAUCCUACCCCCAUUUCCCCUUAACCUUUCCUAGCCCUAGUCAACUUCUAAUCUACUUUCUGUUUUUAUAAACUUGCACAUUCCAGACACUUCAUAUAAAUGAAAUUAUACAACAUCUGGCCUUUUGUGACUGGAUUUUUUCACUAGCAGAAUGGUUUUCAAGGUUCAUUCAUUUUGUUGAUGUAGCAAAACUUCAUUCCUUUUUAUGGACAGAUAGUUGUCCACUUAUACCACAUUAUGUUUAUCCAUUCAUCACUUGAUGGACAUUUGAGUAGUUUCCAUUAUUUGGCUAUUAUGAAUAAUGUAUAACAUUUGCUUGGAAUGCUUUUUUGACUGAACAGUCUGCUUUCUUUCUGCUUCUGGGCUGUAUUUGCUUAUUGAUUAAUCUAAAUAUUUUAUACAUACAUAAUUUUUUUUUUUGGCCAUGCCUGUGUCAUGUGGACGUUCCUGAGCCACAUUGAACCUGUGCCACAGCAGUGACCUGAUCCACAGCAGUGACAAUGCCAGAUCUUUAACCCACUGUGCCACCUGGGAACUCCUGAAUAUAAUGUAUGAUAAAAUCACAUACUGUUGGUUUUAAUCUGGUUCCACCUUGCUGGAUGCUAGGAAUUUUGGUUCUUUGAUCAAUUGUGUGAUCUCUUUAUUCCAAUCUUGUACGUUGUACCACUUGGUUAAAUUUCCAGUCUCUGCUUCACCCAAAUUGUAGAUCAAAAUACUGUUCCGUGUGGGGUGGCUUCUCAGCCACAUGGUUUGUUAUUGUGGAGGAGGCAGGGCCAUCUUCUCCCAGCCACUGGUCUGUGUACAAAUAGGGAAUUGACACACUUUUAUGUUAAUACGAAGUAUUUCAGCUUGUAAAAACAUCCUUUUAUUUUUGCCAGCACCAAGAUGUUCUGGUAUUACAGGUUGAUCUAUGCCAAUUUCUCAUAAUUAGGUUAGUUAGGUUAGAGUUCCUGUCAUGGCUCAGUGGUUAACGAAUCCGACUAGGAACCAUGAGGUUUUGGGUUUGAUCCCUGGCCUUGCUCAGUGGGUUAAGGAUCUAGUGUUGCCGUGAGCUGUGGUCUAUGUUGCAGACGCAGCUCAGAUCCCGAGUUGCUGUGGCUGUGGUGUAGGCUGGCAGCUACAGCUCCGAUUCAGCCCCUAGCCUGGGAACCUCCAUAUGCGUGAGC